AUUGAACGCUGGCGGCAGGCCUAACACAUGCAAGUCGAGCGGAUGAAGGGAGCUUGCUCCUGGAUUCAGCGGCGGACGGGUGAGUAAUGCCUAGGAAUCUGCCUGGUAGUGGGGGAUAACGUCCGGAAACGGGCGCUAAUACCGCAUACGUCCUGAGGGAGAAAGUGGGGGAUCUUCGGACCUCACGCUAUCAGAUGAGCCUAGGUCGGAUUAGCUAGUUGGUGGGGUAAAGGCCUACCAAGGCGACGAUCCGUAACUGGUCUGAGAGGAUGAUCAGUCACACUGGAACUGAGACACGGUCCAGACUCCUACGGGAGGCAGCAGUGGGGAAUAUUGGACAAUGGGCGAAAGCCUGAUCCAGCCAUGCCGCGUGUGUGAGGAAGGUCUUCGGAUUGUAAAGCACUUUAGGUUGGGAGGAAGGGCAGUAAGUUAAUACCUUGCUGUUUUGACGUUACCAACAGAAUAAGCACCGGCUAACUUCGUG
rnacentral:rRNA from 1 species